UACCAGCACCCCGAGUGGUCGGGACGAUUAUUGGGCCUAAAGCAUCCGUAGCCGGUUUUACAAGUCCUCCGUUAAGUCCAGCUGCUUAACAGAUGGGCUGCGGAGGAUACUAUAAGACUAGGAGGCAGGAGAGGCAAGCGGUACUCAGUGGGUAGGGGUAAAAUCCGUUGAUCCAUUGAAGACCACCAGUGGCGAAGGCGGCUUGCCAGAAUGCGCUCGACGGUGAGGGAUGAAAGCUGGGGGAGCAAACAGG
rnacentral:rRNA from 1 species